rnacentral:rRNA from 1 species
CCUACGGGAGGCAGCAGUGAGGAAUAUUGGUCAAUGGACGAGAGUCUGAACCAGCCAAGUAGCGUGAAGGAUGACUGCCCUAUGGGUUGUAAACUUCUUUUAUAUGGGAAUAAAAUGUUCCACGUGUGGCAUUUUGUAUGUACCAUAUGAAUAAGGAUCGGCUAACUCCGUGCCAGCAGCCGCGGUAAUACGGAGGAUCCGAGCGUUAUCCGGAUUUAUUGGGUUUAAAGGGUGCGUAGGUGGAUUGUUAAGUCAGUGGUGAAAGUCUGCGGCUCAACCGUAGAAUUGCAGUUGAAACUGGCAGUCUUGAGUACAGUAGAGGUAGGCGGAAUGCGUGGUGUAGCGGUGAAAUGCUUAGAUAUCACGCAGAACUCCGAUUGCGAAGGCAGCUCACUGGACUGCAACUGACGCUGAGGCUCGAAAGUGUGGGUAUCAAACAGGAUUAGAUACCCUGGUAGUC